AAAUAUUUUGAAAUCACAGUGAACUUUAAGCUUGUGGCUAAAUCGAUUCUGUGUAUUUGUAAAUCGAUUAUGAGACUUAGUAAAUCGAUUAAGUAAUCGAUUGGUGUGAUUUUUAUUGGAACAAAACACCUGACAUCGAUUAUGCAAUCGAUUCAUAUAAGUCUGAACAUAAUUUACUGAAAAGAGUUUUUAAAAGAAUCGAUUGGCAAAUCGAUUGGUUUAUGUAGUUUCAAGAUUCAAGAAAAACAAGACUCGCGAUAAUCGAUUGGCAAAUCGAUUAGAC
rnacentral:lncRNA from 1 species